GGGCUGAGGGCGGGCGGGGCGGAGAGACUGUUGAACCCCUUCGUGUCCUGUCUGCCCCCGCCCUGGGCACCGGGUCGCACCUGCGUCUCCCUCCAGGCUUGCAGCUGCGCCCCCUUCUCCCCCAGCACCCAGCUGCCCCGCUUUUCUCCCCAUCAUGGUAGUGUGCAUGUGAUGGGAGGCAGCAGACAUGGGCGUGGGAGAGGUGGCUCUCCUCAGAGCAGAGGGGAGCACAUGCAUGCAGAACCAUGUAUCCAUGGACAGGAGGCCGGGGGGGCAAAGGACACGUGCAUUGGGCAGGAGGGGUGCAAGGGGAGGGGUGGUGAGGCAGAGACUGCCCCCCCAAGCCCCUGCUGCCCCCCAGCUCCAGCUAGUGACUCCCUGAGGGAAGUGGAUGGGGGGGUCUCAUGCCUCUGUGAACCUCCCACUGCUGCCCCCCAGGUGUGGAUGAGCUCAGGACCCCCAGCCAACUGCAUCUGGGAGGUAACCGGGAGCCUUCAGCCAUCAGCCACUCAAGGCUGUGGCCCAAGGGGGGCAAAUCCCACACAACAACGCAGACCCAGGUCACCCAGCGCAGGUGGAAGGAGGGUAAGGCCAUUCUUUAGCAUGCAGGAGCCUACCUGCAGGAGACCUGCAUCGAGUGGCUGCGGCAGUACCUGCAGCACGGGGAGGCAGCACUGCAGAGCAGUGAGUCCCAGUGUCAUUGCCCAGGACAGCACUGACCGGGCACCCCCUCACCCCAGGGAAUGCCUGCCCCAUCCCCCUGUGUCCAGGAUGGCAACCACUGCUUCUUGGUCUUGCUGCUGGGUGAGACCCCAGCACAGCUGUAGGACACGGUGCCUCUGUCCCUGCCCUGGUCAGGCCUCCCAGCUGGGCAGAGCCCACGUGGUGUCUGUGCCCUGGCCACGUGUCUGAGAACCAGAGAUCAGCUGUGUCGAACCCUGUUCCUGCAGCCCUGAGCCCAGCGCAUCCGUGUCUCCCGUCCCCCACGCCCCUUCCCCAGCACUGCCUGCUCCUGCCUCAAAUGGGCGCUGGAGCCAGUUUGUGUGGCCCGGUGCAGGGCCCAGCCCGGGCUCCUGGCAGGGGUGCUGAGGGCCCAACAGGGCAGUCACUCUAGCAGGUGUCUCCUCCCUCCCAGAGCGUCCCAUGGCACAGGUGAGCAACAAGCCAUCAUCCUGGGGCGGACGCACCACCCUAGCCUGCCAGGUCCAUGGCUUCUGCCCCAAGGACGUGGCUGCUGUCUGGCUGAAAAAUGGGGAGGUGCAGCCCCAGGAGACGAGCCAUGCAGGGGUCCUUCCCAGCAGAGAUGAGACCUACCAGACCUGGGCCACCAUCGAGAUCGACCCGAGCAGCAACCACAACUACGCCUACAGCGUGAGGCAUGAGAGCCUGGGGGCAGCUCUGAGAGUGGCCUGGGACAAGGGCCAGACAGGAUAAGAAGAGUCUGAGGACACGCAGGUGUCUGGUGAGACUUGAGACCCCAAGCAUUCUGCUUCUGCCUUUUAUGUUCAACUUCACAGCUCAACAGGUAAUGGAAGUUAAAUGGCUCAUCCUGGCCAGCCAAGUAAGGCAACGAUGCUGCAGAAGCCAGACGCAGACGGGUGUGAACUGCUUCCCUGGGCAUGCUGGCCUUGGGGAAAACCACCAGAUCCCUCCUGGCUUGGAGGAGAGCAUCUAACAAGUUGACAGUGUCCCAGUAGAAGCUCCCGGGGGUGCCUCCAUCUGCAAGCCCACUUUUCACCCGUUGCAGCCAAGCCCUUGGCCAAUGGGCGAGGCUCCACUGUUCACCGUGACACUGGAUGCUUGAAUGUCGCCAGGCCACCUGAGUGGCAGUGCCGAGGAGAGUUGGGCGGGGGCCUGUGACAAGGUUACAUGAGAGUGAGGGGGCAAUCUCAACAUAAGGACUACCAAGCCCCUCUGUUGGAGUGCGCGGGCCCAAGGCAAGGACACAAGAGAAGAUGCUGCAGAAAACUACAAGGAGUGAGAAGCCACUUACAUGCUCAGACAGGCAGAGGCACCAAUGCUUUCAUCCCAUGGACCCAUCCCAGCAGAUCGAGCAGGGGAGGACGAAGGGAGGGGACGACAGGGGUGGAAGGGGAGGGGAGGAGUGCAGGGCUUCACCUCCUCAGGGUGAAGCAGCAUGGGAGCAGCCAGGCGAGCUGGAACCUGCGGGAGAAGGGCAGAGUCGGGGCACGUUCAGUGUGGGGUCCCUCCGCUCACCCCCGGGAACAACCACGGGGUAAAGGAGCAUCUCCCCAGGAGGGAGCAGGUCGUGGCUCUCACAGAUGGCUCAGUGGGGCUUUCUGUCCCAGCGGGCCUGGCCUGGGCCAGAAGCUCUGAUUCCAGGGAUGAACCCCUGGCAACAGGGUCCUCAAGCCCAGAGGUGGGCAAUGAGGGGCCAACCCAGGAGAUAGCUGGUCCAUGCAGGGCACUAGGGCCCUGGCAGAGAGCUGGGAGGGGUCAUCCUGAGCGGCCUCGAGGUCGGGGGCACGCAAUCAUCAUGUGGGCUGGUGGAGGGGCAGCCCCUCAGGGCUGCGUCUGGUUGGGGUGCAGGGGGGAAACUCACCUCCUUGCUGCCCCUGACCUUCUCCUCCUCCCCUCUGCCAGUGUCAGCCCUGCAGGUGGGAGGCAGAGACACUGGUCACCUCCCAUUCACCCCGAGCCCCCAGGCUCCGGCCACUGCCACCACCCCAUGCCCAGGCCUCCCCUCUCUCCAUCACUGCCUUUGUACCAGGGACCGGCCCUGGGUGUCCUGCCAGACCCACCUCCCUUCCUCCCGCUGUGCUGCCUGCGCCUAGGUCUGGUUCCUGGCUGCCGUCCGGACAUACACAACAGGGAAGGCUCCCAGCACAGAGAGCCCAGGCCUGCAGCGCCCCUGUCCCAGCCCUGCCCCACCUAGACACUCAGGGCACUGGACGGACUUGUGGGCAAGGCACUUACUGAAGACACACUAGUCAUACCCCUUCACUCACCUCUUCCCUUCCUGGGCUCCUGGCCCCCACCCCGUCCUUCUCCCAACCUGCGAGACCUUUCCCAGGACCAGGAACGGGCUACUGUCUCCAGCUCUCCUUCAGCUCCCCUCACUGAUCCCGCGGUCACAACCUAACGCUAGCAAAAGCAUCAUGUUUGCCGGCUGUAGGGCCACUUAUGGCUCUGGACUGACUCACGGAGCUGGCUGAUUUGGCUUGGAGCAUGAAACAUUUCUUUAGAAAACCCCCCCAAAAACUAGGAACAUCAUCAUACCUU